rnacentral:tRNA from 1 species
GGGCACUUAGCUCAGCGGGAGAGCGCUUCCUUCACACGGAAGAGGUCAGAGGUUCGAAACCCCUAGUGCCCACCA